rnacentral:rRNA from 1 species
AGCGAACGCUGGCGGCAGGCUUAACACAUGCAAGUCGAGCGGGCGUAGCAAUACGUCAGCGGCAGACGGGUGAGUAACGCGUGGGAACAUACCUUUUGGUUCGGAACAACACAGGGAAACUUGUGCUAAUACCGGAUAAGCCCUUACGGGGAAAGAUUUAUCGCCGAAAGAUUGGCCCGCGUCUGAUUAGCUAGUUGGUGAGGUAAUGGCUCACCAAGGCGACGAUCAGUAGCNGGUCUGAGAGGAUGAUCAGCCACAUUGGGACUGAGACACGGCCCAAACUCCUACGGGAGGCAGCAGUGGGGAAUAUUGGACAAUGGGCGCAAGCCUGAUCCAGCCAUGCCGCGUGAGUGAUGAAGGCCCUAGGGUUGUAAAGCUCUUUCGGCGGGGACGAUAAUGACGGUACCCGCAGAAGAAGCCCCGGCUAACUUCGUGCCAGCCGCCGCCGUAAG